ACGCACGCUGGCGGCGUGCUUAACACCUGCCAGUCGAACGGAAAGGCCCUGCUUUUGUGGGGUGCUCGAGUGGCGAACGGGUGAGUAACACGUGAGUAACCUGCCCUUGACUUUGGGAUAACUUCAGGAAACUGGGGCUAAUACCGGAAAGGAGCUCCUGCUGCGGGGGGGGGGUUGGAAAGUUUCGGCGGUUGGGGAUGGACUCGCGGCUUAUCAGCUUGUUGGUGGGGUAGUGGCUUACCAAGGCUUUGACGGGUAGCCGGCCUGAGAGGGUGACCGGCCACAUUGGGACUGAGAUACGGCCCAGACUCCUACGGGAGGCAGCAGUGGGGAAUAUUGCACAAUGGGCGGAAGCCUAAUGCAGCAACGCCGCGUGCGGGAUGACGGCCUUCGGGUUGUAAACCGCUUUCGCCUGUGACGAAGCGUGAGUGACGGUAAUGGGUAAAGAAGCACCGGCUAACUACGUG
rnacentral:rRNA from 1 species